GAUGAACGCUGGCGGCGUGCCUAAUACAUGCAAGUCGAGCGAACAGACGAGGAGCUUGCUCCUCUGACGUUAGCGGCGGACGGGUGAGUAACACGUGGAUAACCUACCUAUAAGACUGGGAUAACUUCGGGACACCGGAGCUAAUACCGGAUAAUCUAUUGAACCGCAUGGUUCAAUAGUGAAAGACGGUUUUGCUGUCACUUAUCGAUGGAUCCGCGCCGCAUUAGCUAGUUGGUAAGGUAACGGCUUACCAAGGCAACGAUGCGUAGCCGACCGGAGAGGGUGAUCGGCCACAUGGGAAGUGAGACACGGUCCAGAGUCCUACGGGAGGCAGCAGUAGGGAAUCUUCCGCAAUGGGCGAAAGCCUGACGGAGCAACGCCGCGUGAGUGAUGAAGGUCUUCGGAUCGUAAAACUCUGUUAUUAGGGAAGAACAGAUGUGUAAGUAACUAUGCACGUCUUGACGGUACCUAAUCAGAAAGCCACGGCUAACUACGUG
rnacentral:rRNA from 1 species